rnacentral:misc_RNA from 1 species
CCAAUAUAAAGCAGGCUCAGGAGUCCCAAGUGGUGUUGCUUCGGCGAUGCUGUUUGGCCUGGUCUGUCUGAAUAUUCACCCAUGUCUUUUGCGUACUACUUGUUUCCUCGGUGGGUCCGCCCACCAGCAGGACAUUUAUAAACCUUUUGUAAUUGCAAUCAGCGUCAGAAAAUAACAUAAUAGUUA